ACAAAAUGGGCUUAGGCGUUGAGUCACAAAAUUAUCAAACUGGUCAGUGCUCAAAUCGAAGAUUUGGAAACUCCAAUAACAAAUAUGAUACAUAUGGCUUCAUAGUUAAUUUAAUUAAUAAUGUGUAAAAUUAUGUUUUUCAGAUUUUUUCUGGAUUUCAAUAGUAAAAUUUUCUUUUGGAUUUCCCAUUCAUUCCUGAAAAGUGAGAAGUUACUGACUUCUUUUAAAGUGAUAUGAGAUAGUUUGAAUACAAGCAGAUACCGACGUGAAAACAUAUGAUUACGGUUUUUUUAAAUGUAUAGACCGAAAUACUGUUCUGGAAAUAUAGACUCGUAAAUUAAAGAUGAGGCCUUACUUGAAAUAAACACUUCCAAUGACUUUCUUAAUCAUAUCAUCUGGAAUAUAGCAUCGCUGUCUCAAGAGUCCGGCCCAGAGUUGCACACCGAUGAUUCCGAAUAUGAAAAAUACGAAAAAACAAAGUAGAAGAACGUUUCCCAACAUAGGAAGUGUAUCUAGGAGUAACAUCACGAGAAUGCGCAUGCCUGAAACAUUAAAAAUCUACGUUGAAGUCGACAAAAUGGCACUUGUACGUGAUCGACAAAUUUCCAUUCCCCCACUCCAUCAGUUAAGCGUCUCCAGGAGCAUCCUAUACACCGUCAACAAGUCUGAAACAAUGGAGAAGAAGAAGGGACCUGUUAAAAAGGCCCAAACAGGACCCGUAAGAGUUAAAGAAAACAGCCCAGACCAAUCUCCUCAAGUCUAAAAGGGACCAUGCAAGAAAUCUCGUGGUUUCACACCAGAAUGUCCAGAGAGCUAUUAAAAAAUUGGUUAUAAAGCACAUUUUGAGAUCAGUAAUGAAAGAAACACAUCACUCAUUGCAAGACUCUUUGGAAUGAGUUUUGUGUAGUUCUUUUGAACUCUUUUUUUUUACUCCACCCCCUCCCCUACAGCCCUCAUGCCAACCCCAUUAACUACAACUUUUUAGUGAAUGUCAAGGAAAGGCCUGUAGUGUCUGUCAUCCAAACUCUGAUGUCCUCAAAGCCACUGUAAGCCAGCGUUGGGACGCCAAGACAGAGGAAUACAUCUGCAUUUGGUGCUAGACCUUCCUCAGCCGCCUAGAUCCACCAUUUCCAGAAAAGGUGGCACAUUAAUGGUUAAGAGA
rnacentral:lncRNA from 1 species